rnacentral:rRNA from 1 species
GACGAACGCUGGCGGCGUGCUUAACACAUGCAAGUCGAACGGAAAGGCCCUGCUUUUGUGGGGUGCUCGAGUGGCGAACGGGUGAGUAACACGUGAGUAACCUGCCCUUGACUUUGGGAUAACUUCAGGAAACUGGGGCUAAUACCGGAUAGGAGCUCCUGCUGCAUGGUGGGGGUUGGAAAGUUUCGGCGGUUGGGGAUGGACUCGCGGCUUAUCAGCUUGUUGGUGGGGUAGUGGCUUACCAAGGCUUUGACGGGUAGCCGGCCUGAGAGGGUGACCGGCCACAUUGGGACUGAGAUACGGCCCAGACUCCUACGGGAGGCAGCAGUGGGGAAUAUUGCACAAUGGGCGGAAGCCUGAUGCAGCAACGCCGCGUGCGGGAUGACGGCCUUCGGGUUGUAAACCGCUUUCGCCUGUGACGAAGAGUGAGUGACGGUAAUGGGUAAAGAAGCACCGGCUAACUACGUGC